UGAUAGUAGGAACUUCCCAGACAGCCCAGCGGCCUUCCUUCGCACCUGACGUGGAUUCUCAUUCCCGGACAUCUAGAAGAUAAGUCGAGGGCCAUGACUCACAGAGAGGCUGGAAGGGGGCCGCCGCGUCAGGUCCCACCGGGAGGGAUUUUUGAGUCAGCUUUGGAGCUGAGGAUAUCCAGGAUAUGUCAUCUUAAGACCACAUGAAAGCAAAGCAUCACUUUUGAACCCAGCGCCAAGACGCACAGGGCAGAGCAGUUCCGGCACGUGUUGUGUCACAUGGGUAUUGUGCCUUGUGUGUCGUUUGACUGUCUCUUGUCUUUUCCCUUAGCACUUUGAGAGGCCUAUCAGAAACCCUGGCAUCCUUUUCAGCAUCACUGAUCUCUGCAUUUCUUGGUCUGGCACCAAUGACGUAGGACUUUUGACUCAGGAGCUCAGACAGGCAUCAGAACCGCACCUCUCCUUAGAAGCAUCCAGUCAAGAUGUCUUUGAAGACAGACAGCUGCGCCCCGCAAGGAUCCAUUAUUGCGGAUUAGGACUCGUAAGAACGUGAGGAUAGGUAGAGGAUUCUGACCGUAGGAUUCUCAGACAUCCAUCUUUGCAGUUCUUAGAAAUCAUUCAGUUAGCAUCUUCUUCCUCCAGGGUUCUCUGAGCCUCUUCAGCUUGCCAUCGGUCUCACCUCAGUCAUUUCAUUUUGCAUUCUCUCAGUUCUUGCAGUCAUUCCUCUUGCCAAGUGACUUCUGUCCCUGUUGCGUCCCCUUUGUUUGUCACGUCCUGUCCUGUGUCACUGGUGUCUGCACAUAUUUGUGUCGGAGCUGCUCUGCCCUGCUGCAUAGUCUAGCGCCAUAGGACAAAUCCUGGGGCCUUGAAAUUUGUGGUACGGGGUGUAGUUGGAGUCUAGAUGGUAUUCCUAGAUGUGCAAACAAGAUGUUUGGAGGUGUGAAGUUAUCCUGCAGCCCUUUCACGUUUGUCCUGAAUUUCUUUCAGAUGCAGACCGAUAAAAUGCAUAGCAGAGCACCCCAUCCCAGGAAAUAAAGCCUUCUAGCAGCAGUCAAGGCGAGGUGGUCAAGGCAAUCCAUUUGGAGUACACAUAACUCCCCAUCAGACACUGGCCGACGGACUGUGAUUGUUGUUUUUUGGAGCCCUGUGGAAGUAUUACAGGACUCGGUGAUGAAGCCACUGCCUUUUCGAUUUAAAGGAGUCACCCAGAGAGACUUUAGCAAUGCCGAGGAGUUG